CCCAGGUAAAAGGACAAGCAGAGCACGAGGUCAGGAAGCUGGUGGAGAGUUCUGGUGGGAGCGUUCAGGGGACUGUUGCAAGAUUCAGAGGCCGUGCCACCAUAAUAAAAACUCCGGAUUGAAAACUCUCCAUCAGGACCUGCUCCUUUCUUCACCUCGCCUUAAGGGUUUCUCCAGAUCGGGAAGGCCUGAGGAGUGACCUCCUCAGCAGCAAGCUCCAGCCCGCAAGCUCUGGAGCUCGGGGCAUGCCCGGACUUGUCUCCAUGUGCCCAGCUGUGACCACAGAGUGAAAAGAAGCUCAAGCCUUCAAGAAAGUCCAGUGGAACAAUCAAAUAAGGUCAGACUGGGAAAACAAACAAAUGUGGUGGCUAUGUGUGGAGCAAGAAAAAACUUGUACUAAAAAAGGUACUUCAUUACGGCAACAGCGAGGCCAUCCCUGGAGUUCUGGUUGAGCUUUGAGCUCCUCAGUCCAAGAGAGACAUGGACAUACUGAAGAUUGUCCAGCAAAGAGCCACUAAGACCAUGAAGGAAAUGCAGCAUUUCGCCUUUGAGAAAGGAGACAGCUCAGGCUGGAAAAAAAAGGCUCUUGAGGAAAAUUAUUAAUGUAUAUAAAUACUUAAAGCAAGAAUGCAAAGAAGAGAAAAACAGGUUCUCUAAAGUGACAGGACCAGAGGAAAUGGACACACACUGAAAUACAUGAAGUUUCCUGUGAACCUCAGGAAGUACUUUACUAUGAGGAUGACCAAGAACUAAUGCAGAUUGCCCAGCGAAUCUCCAUUCUUGGAGAUGACCCACCUGUUCCAGGUGGUUCUGCUUGAUCAGGGCAGAUUAUGUCCACAGGUUGCUUCCAACAUAAAUCAUUCAUGUUCUUUACUUGAAUGACCUCUGGAUCAAACACUUUUGUAUAACUAUUGUAUCUUCUUAAGCUCUAGCCAGCAUACCUCUUAGGAAAAAAUGCUCAUACUGAAAUUGUUGGAACUAUUGCUGGUAUUGUUUAUGGUAAUGCAACAAUAUAUUUAUAUAUAUUAACAUUAAAAAAUUCUGCUCUGCUAUAUAUUCUGUUCCUCUUUUUACUUGAAGUUAUAGUGUAACUGCUCUCUUUAAUCAAAAACUUUAUCAUCCCAACUCUCUGAGGAAGAUCUGUGCUUUUAGAAGGGAUUCAAGAAUACAUAUUUAACAUAGUCUUGUUAAAUUCUAAACAAUAUUAAUAAUAUUUUCAACAAAUUUGAAUUUCAGUUAAUGUGUCUUUCUGGGUCCACUGACAGAAAAAGAAGAAAAAGACUGAAAAUUAUAAGUUUUUAUGUUGUAAUGAAUAACCCACACCAGGGUGAUUAUACUUGAAAUGAAGCAAAGAGGACAAUGACACCAGGUACUGUCAGUGAGGUUGUAUUCUGCAGUAUAUUGUAAUUGUUCUAGGAAUGCAGUAUGAAUAUCUAAAAAUGAGAGAUAAUCAUACAUAAUUGACUAAUUAAUCCUUUGCUUAGUUUUCAGCUAACUUUGUUAUUAAAACCUGAGAUGCUGUUUUACUUUUUUGUGAGUGACUGGAUACAACUAUGAAGUAUUACAAUAUUUUAUUUAGCAGAAAAUAGACACACUGAAAGCUCAAUAUUUGUUUUAUCUAUAUUUUAUGGGAUUAAAAUAUUUAUCUGCACAACUAA